rnacentral:rRNA from 1 species
GUAGGUGGCAAGCGUUAUCCGGAAUUAUUGGGCGUAAAGCGCGCGUAGGCGGUUUUUUAAGUCUGAUGUGAAAGCCCACGGGCUCAACCGUGGAGGGUCAUUGGAAACUGGAAAACUUGAGUGCAGAAGAGGAAAGUGGAAUUCCAUGUGUAGCGGUGAAAUGCGCAGAGAUAUGGAGGAACACCAGUGGCGAAGGCGACUUUCUGGUCUGUAACUGACGCUGAUGUGCGAAAGCGUGGGGAUCAAACAGGAUUAGAUACCCUGGUAGUCCACGCCGUAAACGAUGAGUGCUAAGUGUUAGGGGGUUUCCGCCCCUUAGUGCUGCAGCUAACGCAUUAAGCACUCCGCCUGGGGAGUACGACCGCAAGGUUG